rnacentral:rRNA from 1 species
GACAGAGGGUGCAAACGUUGUUCGGAAUUACUGGGCGUAAAGCGUGCGUAGACGGUUACAUAAGUCGGGUGUGAAAGCCCCGGGCUCAACCUGGGAAUUGCAUUCGAGACUGCGUAGCUAGGGUGCGGAAGAGGGAAGCGGAAUUUCCGGUGUAGCGGUGAAAAUGCGUAGAUAUCGGGAAAGGAACACCAGUGGCGAAAAGCGGCUUCCUGGUCCAGCACCGACGUCAGGCACGAAAGCGUGGGGGAGCAAACAGG